CGGCGGCCGGGUGGGGAAGCGGGGCUAGUUGCAAGAGGCGGCUCCCAGGUUCUUCUAGGGACGCCUUCGUCGGAGGGAAGUGGGUGUGAACUUGGCCGCCCGGGGACCCCGGUGGCUGGGGUCCGGGGUGAGGGUACAGGGGAGCAGCCUGUAGCCCCGCACAUCGGGGAGGGGGCUGAGAACGUGAGUUCGCCUACCCUGACGUGGCCUGGUGACCUGACGUGGGAAGUGGGAGACCGAGGCCGGAGGCCAGUGGGGUGAUUGGAAGGAGGUUUAAGGGCCGGGCUGGGGCGGGGUCUCAGGACUGGGCUAGCGAUGGGAGCUUUGGGUUGGAGGCUUCGAAGUUCUGGGAGGUGGGGCGGGAGGAACCCGCAGGCAUGGCAGCUCAGUCUUGGCUCUUUAAGGCGCGAGCCAAGGAUUGUCUCACCAUCUGCAGCCAAACCGGCCGCCUUUCUCGCAAGGGGUUUAGAGCCCCUGUUCUCUGCAGUCUUUCGAAGGGAAGGCUCUCCUGACAUCUCGGCCCCUGGAGGCAUUUAGCGAGUUGAGAGCCUGGGCUCCCACCCUACCUGGGAGGAAACUCAGGGUCCUGAAGGCUGUGCGCUCCCCACCCGCAGGCUGCGACCAUGAGGUUAAAUCAGAACGUCUCGCUCCUGGGGAAGAAGGUGGUGCUGGUACCCUACACCGCAGAGCAUGUGCCCAGGUACCACGAGUGGAUGAAAUCAGAGGAGCUGCAGCGUUUGACAGCCUCCGAGCCUCUGACCCUGGAGCAGGAGUAUGCGAUGCAGCGCAGCUGGCGGGAAGAUGCGGACAAGUGUACCUUCAUUGUGCUGGACGCAGCGAAGUGGCAGGCCCAGCCAGGCACCACCGAAGAGAGCUGCAUGGUGGGGGAUGUGAACCUCUUCCUCACAGAUCUAGGGGACCCCUCCUUGGGGGAGAUUGAGGUCAUGAUUGCAGAGCCCAGCUGCAGGGGCAAGGGCUUUGGCACCGAGGCGGCGCUCAUGAUGAUGUCCUAUGGAGUGACCAAGCUAGGUCUGACCAAGUUUGAGGCUAAAAUUGGGCAAGGAAAUGAACCGAGCAUCCGGAUGUUCCAGAAACUUCACUUUGAGCAGGUGGCCAUGAGCAGCGUCUUCCAGGAGGUGACACUCAGACUGACGAUGAGUGAGCCGGAGCGGCAGUGGCUUCUGGAGCAGACCAGCCACGUGGAAGAGAAGCCCUACCGAGAUGGGUCCUAGGAGCCCGGCUGAGAGCCCUGCACCAGGAAGUGAACGGACCGGGCCGACCCUCUCCAGGCUGGGGAUCUCCUUUCAGGGCCCUUCACACGCGGGGCAGUACUUGCCUUGGCCUCCCCCUGGCUGGCAGUGGGGCUGAGCCACUCCAGGGAGCCCCUCCUCCCGGCCAAACCUGGACUUAGACUCUGAGAACCUGGGGUGGACGGCAUGAAUACACAGGAAGAGGCCGGGUAGAGGCAGAGCUGGAGAUGACAACGGGGGGUGAGGGUGGCCUGGUGAACAGGCCGGACUUCCCUUUUCCUGGAAAGCCAGCGGUGCCACUCUGGGGCUGAGGCCCUGGCCUGAGUAAAGUGCACUGCACGGCCAGCUUUCCGUUCCUCACUGCCCGUAGUCUGUGUGGAGGUGAGCUUCCAGGAGGCCUCCUGCAGCUUCUGUCCCCUCCAGCAUGGGAGCGACAGGGCAACUCAGUCCUCUGUUAUCCUAUGGAAGCAGGCUGGCUGGGUGUGGCCCUGAGAGGUUAGGAAACGAAUGAGGUGGCCCUGUUGGACAGGAGGCUUGGACAAUGGGCGAGAAUCCUUGCUCCCCCUUUCUUUUAUUUGGAGCCAGUUUUGAGUAAAUUAGUUUUGGAUCCAGCUCCUCGUGGCUGGACAGCACCCCUCUGCUGAGUUUGAGGCCUCCUGUGUUCUGCCCUCCACCUCCGGGAGCUGCUGCACCUGUCAAGGCCACAAGGGGGCGCCAGAGGUACCGGUUCGGGAUGGCAUGGCUGCCUGACAACCUGUGCUUAACAGAGCUGGGCCAGGUCUGGCCACCUCAGAGCAGGGAGGACACCCAUUGACUUCUAACUGCUCCGGCCCUCCCUGUCAUGAUCUGCAGUGGCGUCAAGGAAAGCCAGUCAGGUUUCAAAACAGUCGUGGAAGAGACUCCGGAGGGUACCUGGGCAUUUUCAAGGGCCCCCUCCCUGGCUCACGGUCUCCCUGUUCUCCUCAGUCCCAGGAGCCUGGCUUCGGAGGUUUCCUGGUUGGGCGGAGAGUUGCCUGGGGCCAACUCGCUUCCUUCUCUCUGAGCACCUGCCCUGGAAGCUCCUGGCCCGGCAGCCUCAGCUCUCAGGCCACCUGGCAGGCCUCCAGGACGUGGCUGCCAGAGCCAGAGACGUAAAGGACUGGGUCUCCUGUGGAGGAACAGGGCACUUCGCCCUUGGCAAGUCCGCGCACCCACCUGCCACAUGGCAUAUCCUGGGGCCCGGGGAGGCCGUUUGUUUUCGCCUAGGCCUGGGAACUGCCCUCCAACCCGGGCCAGGGCCAGAUAAGAGCGUAUUUGGCGCCAGCUCAGGCCACUCCUGGGAAUCCUGCACCCCAUGGGCUGAGGGCGGGAAGAUGAAAGGCAAGCUUUCACUUUCCCAGUCAGGCCCCAGCGGGUUCACGCCCCAAAGCUCCUGGACUCAGGAAGGCUCGGCGUCCUCAGCAUGUGCUCUGGGCCCCUAGUUCCUGGGGCGAACAUGCCUAUGCAAGUUGACCACCAGGGGAAGCGCCUGGAACUGGUGGGUGGGGCCAGCGGACAGUUACAGACAGGCCCAGGGCCCUCCCCUCCCAGCCAGAGGCCACCCUGGGAACACAGGUUUGCCACCUCUUGAGGCCGGGAGGACAGAGCUCUAAAGGAAGACAGAGGCCGAGGCGGUUUGGAGAAACCAGUUGAAUUUCUGGUGGAGUUUCCUUACAAUGGUGGUGCCUGGUUCAGGGCUGGCCAGGGAGGGGCCAAACCCUCCCCCACCUGCCAGGGUUUCUGUGGUGGGAGUAGAAACAAGAAAGUCUAAGGCUGAGGCCGCUGCUAUGUCUUGCAUGCAGCAACCUGGAAAAUCAUGUUAAUCAGGAGACAAAAAUCCCUCUACUCUGAACUCAAAAAAAAAAAAAA